CUCAUUCAUUUUCUUACUCUCUCUGUUUCGUUCUCUCUCAAUGUAUGUGUUUUUUGAAAUUUUCCGUGUUUUGUCCUGGCUGCAAAGAGCAUCGUCAAGCCAGCAAGAAGUUAGACCUUUGGA